GCAGCGCUGGGCGUUCCGCGCCCAGCAAGGAUCGCAAC
rnacentral:other from 1 species